rnacentral:lncRNA from 1 species
AUUUCGGAAUUUAAGAUUCCGAAGAGAAAAUGAAAACGUCUGAGGCACAAGCAUGCAAAUAAGAUAUUAUAGUUAAUGAAGAACCUUUGUAUAACUGCCCAUUUGAGCUUAACAACAAGGAUAUGGCAAUAUAGUCAACAAGUGAGGUAUAUAAUAUUAAUAUGCUUACGUAGAUGAUGAGGCAAUGGGUCCCAGUUGGGAGAGCCACAACUUGGACCUGUGACUUACAAUAUAAUCAUGACUCUAAAUGAUCUUGGUCACGGGUUGCCACACUGAAUAAUUCCAGAUGGUCACCAUUUACAUCAUGAGGCCAUUCAACGAUCCUGAGUGGCUGACCGCGUUUAAAGCAAUCGGAAUAUUUACGAGCCCCAUGUAAGGCAUUUUGUAACAGCAAAGACUGUUGCUGUUUUUUGUUGUUGUUGUUGGUUUUCAUUUGUUUGUUUGUUUUUUGUGUUUUUUUAUCAGUAAAUACUGUUAGUAUUCUGGACAUGACUGAGGCGUUUUGUAUCAUUCUCAGCAUCUCAAGUGACCUGUCUCAUGUUCAAGAAUGAAAGCCGUAUAUUAUAUUGAAAGCAAAUAGAACUUCGCAGUAAAACGUUGGAAUUAAAAAAAAUAAAAUAAAAUCACCCAAAGGCCA